AGGACUAUACUUUUCAGGAUCAUUUCUCUAGUUCGUUGCUAGAGAAGUUUCUCUGGACGGGUGGAGCUCCAGAAACCCAUGGAGGAGGCGCGGGGUUCUCUCCUCUUGGUGCUGCUUUGCUGCAACUGCCAUUUGCCAUCAGGAUUGUUCUUCUCCCCCUUUGGGGGAGUAAGAGGGCGAGGAUGCAGUCUGAGUGGC
rnacentral:snoRNA from 1 species